GGUGAUCCCCCAAAGUGAUCUCAGCCUGCAUGCUGCACCAGGACAUGCUUCUACCUGGAUCCAGGAUUUUGCCAAAGUAAACACUUGCAGUGGAUCCCAACCAGCAGCAGUACCUGUCCCCGACCCCAUUGAGGCCCAGCAAUCAAUUUCCUUAAAUACUGCACCUGUGAGUCAGCCCCUUGGG